ensembl:lncRNA
AGCAGGUGUAGUUGCGGCAGGUCCAUACUGCCAUACUGUCCGUACUCGGAGUAGCUGUGUGUAUCUACUUUCGGACCGAGUUCGUUAAGUCACAGCUAGAAUUAAGGAGCUCAGCCGCCUGGGGGAAAAAAAACAAGGAAAAAGUUUUGGCGGUUAAAUCAGUUAGGAUCCUCAAGGCUGCAGUUAUUCUUCGUUUUCAAAAGGAAUCAUUUCAGCUGAAGAAGAUGGCUAUAAAGAGGGCAGGAGGAAAGUCAAAGAGGGCAGGACCUGGUCAGACCUCCAGUCAGACUUGGAAGUGUCUGGGCAAAGACCACCAAGUGCUGUCAGACUUACGAGGAGCUCCCCAGCAAUCAUCAGAACCAGGAGGUCCAGGUGCAGCCUUUGGAUAUUGAGGAAGGUUUACUGCCCCUGCAAGACCUUCCUCAACUGUGUAGUCUGGAGCAAAGGAUGCAAAAAAUGAGCCCAGAUUACGAGUAAAAACUGUUUUAGGUAAACUGGUCGGUGCUUAUUGACGGGCGGAUGUGCGUGACUGCACCUGGCACAUAUUGAAGAGGGUGACUGCCAAAUCCCUGGCAACAGCAAUUGGAGGGCCAUCAGUGGAAAGACUUCUCCAACUGAGAAGUCGUGAUCAGUAAGUAUAUCUGUUUACAUACAGAAUUAGCUGUCUCUCUCAGAUGAUAUGUAAGGGGUAAUCCACAGCUAGGUGUGCAUUAAAUAAUUGAAAUGCAUGAUGUUUAAGCAAAGAAGCACUUGUUCAAAUCAUUUAAUGCACACCUAGCCAUGGAUUACCCCAUUUAUACCAUGGCACCCUGGUAUCCAGAUAACUAUCAUUUUAUCUUUGAGAUGCUGUCA